CAGCCGCCGCGGGAAUACGAAGGGUGCAAGCGUUACUCGGAAUUACUGGGCGUAAAGCGUGCGUAGGUAGUGGUUUAAGUCCGUUGUGAAAGCCCUGGGCUCAACCUGGGAAUUGCAGUGGAUACUGGGUCACUAGAGUGUGGUAGAGGAUAGUGGAAUUUCCGGUGUAGCAGUGAAAUGCGUAGAGAUCGGAAGGAACAUCUGUGGCGAAGGCGACUAUCUGGGCCAACACUGACACUGAGGCACGAAAGCGUGGGGAGCAAACAGGAUUAGAUACCCCAGUAGUCCCUGUCUCUUAUAC
rnacentral:rRNA from 1 species